rnacentral:rRNA from 1 species
AUUGAACGCUGGCGGCAGGCCUAACACAUGCAAGUCGAGCGGAUGAAGGGAGCUUGCUCCUGGAUUCAGCGGCGGACGGGUGAGUAAUUCCUAGGAAUCUGCCUUGUCGUUGGGGAUAACGUCCGGAAACGGGCGCUAAUACCGCAUACGUCCUGAUGGUGAAAGUGGUGGAUCUUCAGACCUCACGCUUUCAGCUGACCCUAGGUCGGAUUAGCUAGUUGGUGGGGUAAAGGCCUACCAAGGCGACGAUCCGUAACUGGUCUGAGAGGAUGAUCAGUCACACUGGAACUGAGACACGGUCCAGACUCCUACGGGAGGCAGCAGUGGGGAAUAUUGGACAAUGGGCGAAAGCCUGAUCCAGCCAUGCCGCGUGAGUGAAGAAGGUCUUCGGAUUGUAAAGCACUUUAAGUUGGGAGGAAGGGAAGUAAGUGAAUACCUGGCUGUUUUGACGUUACCAAAAGAAUAAGCACCGGCUAACUUCGUG